GACGAACGCUGGCGGCGUGCUUAACACAUGCAAGUCGAACGGAAAGGCCCAGCUUGCUGGGUGCUCGAGUGGCGAACGGGUGAGUAACACGUGGGUGAUCUGCCCCUAACUUCGGGAUAAGCUUGGGAAACUGGGUCUAAUACCGGAUAGGACAAUCGUUUAGUGUCGGUUGUGGAAAGUUUUUUCGGUUAGGGAUGAGCCCACGGCCUAUCAGCUUGUUGGUGGGGUAAUGGCCUACCAAGGCGUCGACGGGUAGCCGGCCUGAGAGGGUGGACGGCCACAUUGGGACUGAGAUACGGCCCAGACUCCUACGGGAGGCAGCAGUGGGGAAUAUUGCACAAUGGGCGCAAGCCUGAUGCAGCGACGCCGCGUGGGGGAUGACGGCCUUCGGGUUGUAAACCUCUUUCGACAGGGACGAAGCUUUGGUGACGGUACCUGUAGAAGAAGCACCGGCUAACUACGUG
rnacentral:rRNA from 1 species